UAAAAUAUAGGAUACAAAAUAACUAAGCAAAAUCAAACAGUUUUAGACAACCAAUACAAGAUUUAGAACUUGACAUCGUGAUAAACAAAUUGUACAUUCAGGAACUCGUUUAAAUAUUAUAGGUUGAUUGACGAAUACUCUACAGUUGAUUAGAGCCCAUGAUGAUGCGAAGAUAAUUAAUAUCACCUAACUUCAAGAAACCAGCAUAAAAAGUUUACAUUCAUAACUCAUCUAACCAUUAUAGAUCAGUAAUGUCGUCAUAAUUUAAAUGAACUCACAGAUAGCAAUGGGGCACUGCACCGAAGCAGUAUUACAAAAUAUGUGAAAUAAAACUGUAAUACAAAUUGCUCUAUAAAAUUUAAUAGAAAUAAAUUUAUUUAUGAAAAUUAAGUUAUGAAGUUUUAUUUUUCCUAGGAAAAAAAUAACAUUUAUAUUUUGAUCAAUUUAGAACAUUACAGUUAAAAAAAUAUGUGUUAGAAUAACAUAUUUUUAAUAAAAUUGCAGCUUUUAAUUUUUAUACUUUUUUGCUUUUAUAUCAAUAAGAACUAACGUAAGGAACAAUUCAUAUUUAUACUAUGAAAACACAUGCAUAUUUUUUGAUGUUUUUAAAACCAGUGAAUGAUGUUGAAAUAUACUACACCUAUUAUUCUUAUUAACUAACUUUAAUUACAAACUUACACAUUAUUGUCAUUGGAAAUAAAUUAAUUUGGAUAUUCUA